UGUGUGUGUGUGUAUGUAUGUGUGUGUGUAUAUAUAUAUAUACACACACACACACACACACACACACACA